GCAAGUCGAGCGGUAACAGGAAUUAGCUUGCUAAUUUGCUGACGAGCGGCGGACGGGUGAGUAACGCGUAGGAAUCUGCCUAGUAGUGGGGGACAACAUGUGGAAACGCAUGCUAAUACCGCAUAAGCCAUACGGGGGAAAGGAGGGGAUCGUCGGACCUUUCGCUAUUAGAUGAGCCUGCGUCAGAUUAGCUAGUUGGUGGGGUAAAGGCUCACCAAGGCGACGAUCUUUAGCUGGUCUGAGAGGCUGAUC
rnacentral:rRNA from 1 species